rnacentral:rRNA from 1 species
GUCUAUGGCCAUGCCACCUUCAGUGCACUUGAUCUUAUUUGAUUUUGGAAGCUAAGCAGAAUCAGGCCUAGUUAGUACUUGAAUGGGUGAUUAAAAUAGUCAAAUAAAUACCAUGUGGA